rnacentral:rRNA from 1 species
UAGGGAAUUUUGGACAAUGGGCGAAAGCCUGAUCCAGCAACGCCGCGUGCGCGAUGAAGGCCUUCGGGUUGUAAAGCGCUUUUAGAGGAGAUGAGAAAGGACAGUAUCCUCUGAAUAAGCCUCGGCGAACUACGUGCCAGCAGCCGCGGUAAAACGUAGGAGGCUAGCGUUAUCCGGAUUUAUUGGGCGUAAAGCGUGUGCAGGCGGUUAUGCAAGUUGGAUGUGAAAGCUCCUGGCUUAACUGGGAGAGGUCGUUCAAAACUGCAUGACUAGAGAAUGGGAGAGGGAGGUGGAAUUCCGGGUGUAGUGGUGAAAUGCGUAGAUAUCCGGAGGAACACCAGUGGCGAAAGCGGCCUCCUGGACCAUUUCUGACGCUCAGACACGAAAGCUAGGGUAGCAA